rnacentral:rRNA from 1 species
AUUGAACGCUGGCGGAAUGCUUUACACAUGUAAGUCGAACGGCAGCACGGGGCAACCUGGUGGCGAGUGGCGAACGGGUGAGUAGUACAUCGGAACGUGCCCAAUCGUGGGGGAUAACGUAGCGAAAGCUACGCUAAUACCGCAUACGAUCUACGGAUGAAAGCGGGGGAUCGCAAGACCUCGCGCGAAUGGAGCGGCCGAUGGCAGAUUAGGUAGUUGGUGGGGUAAAGGCUCACCAAGCCGACGAUCUGGAGCUGGUCUGAGAGGACGACCAGCCACACUGGGACUGAGACACGGCCCAGACUCCUACGGGAGGCAGCGGUGGGGAAUUUUGGACAAUGGGCGCAAGCCUGAUCCAGCCAUUCCGCGUGCAGGAUGAAGGCCUUCGGGUUGUAAACUGCUUUUGUACGGAACGAAAAGGCUCUGGUUAAUACCCGGGGCUCAUGACGGUACCGUAAGAAUAAGCACCGGCUAACUACGUGCCAGCCGCCGCCGUAAGAC